GUCACUCCCCAAAAGCAUAGAGCUACAGGAAGAUAAUGCGACAGCUGGUGAAGGACUGAAAUGGAGGAAAUGGAAAAAGGAAGAAAAGAGAACAGACAGCUGCACAACAUGCAGAUUCUGCUCUGGGAAAAGCGCCAGAGAGACAGACGCUAAGAUGGAGACGAAGAUAGCGAGAUAGAUAGUGAUAUAAAGAGAGCAGAGAGUCAAGGGCACACAGCGCACACUUCCUCUGUCCUCUGAGCCCAAUCUCAAAUUGUGCUGAAAAUGAGAACCAAAGUUGUGUGUGUGUGUGUGUGUGUGUGUGUGUGUGUG